rnacentral:lncRNA from 1 species
GUUCGGUGCGCGGCCGGGGCCGGAGUUCGCUGCAAGUCGGCGGAAAGUUUGGCUGCGCGGGUUCCCCCGAAGUUCAGAAGGUGAUGCUUCCGACGGGAGCCGCCUUCCGGUGGUUUCAGUGACGGCGGCGGAACCCAAAGCUGCCCUCUCCGUGCAAUGUCACUGCUCGUGUGGUCUCCAGCAAGGGAUUCGGGCGAAGACAAACGGAUGCACCCGUCUUUAGAACCAAAAAUAUUCUCUCACAGAUUUCAUUCCUGUUUUUAUAUAUAUAUUUUUUGUUGUCGUUUUAACAUCUCCACGUCCCUAGCAU